GAGAUUUUUUUCAUUCAUUUAAAAAAAAAAAAAAACCGUAGAUAUGCAAAUGUUUACGGUAUGAUAACCGUGCACGUUCAAACCGUGAUAAACCAGCAUACCGGUAUAUCGUUACAACCCUAUUUACAGGCCCUAAAUUUGGAAAC